CAGUAGCCGCGGUAAAACGUAGGUGGCAAGCGUUGUCCGGAUUUAUUGGGCGUAAAGCGAGCGCAGGCGGUUCCUUAAGUCUGAUGUGAAAGCCCCCGGCUCAACCGGGGAGGGUCAUUGGAAACUAGGGAACUUAAGUGCAGAAGAGGAGAGUGGAAUUCCAUGUGUAGCGGUGAAAUGCGUAGAUAUAUGGAGGAACACCAGUGGCGAAGGCGACUCUCUGGUCUGUAACUUACGCUGAGGCUCGAAAGCGUGGGUAGCAAACAGGAUUAGAUACCCCUGUAGUCCCUGUCUCUUAUAU
rnacentral:rRNA from 1 species